rnacentral:rRNA from 1 species
CCUACGGGAGGCAGCAGUGAGGAAUAUUGGUCAAUGGACGGAAGGCUGAACCAGCCAAGCCGCGUGAAGGACGAAGGUGCCAAGCAUUGUAAACUUCUUUUGUCAAGGGACAAAAUCAGGCUCGAGAGCCUGACCGUGGGUACUUGAAGAAAAAGCAUCGGCUAACUCCGUGCCAGCAGCCGCGGUAAUACGGAGGAUGCGAGCGUUAUCCGGAUUUAUUGGGUUUAAAGGGUGCGUAGGCGGACUGUUAAGUCAGCGGUAAAAGCCCGGGGCUCAACCCCGGCGAGCCGUUGAAACUGGCUGUCUUGAGAGCACGAGAGGUAUGCGGAAUGCGCAGUGUAGCGGUGAAAUGCUUAGAUAUUGCGCAGAACCCCGAUUGCGAAGGCAGCCUGCCGCAGCGUUACUGACGCUGAGGCUCGAAAGCGCGGGUAUCGAACAGGAUUAGAUACCCGAGUAGUC